ACUAUUUUGGCAGAAUUAAUGCAUUAAUUUUAGGAGUUAAUAAUGUAUAAAAAUACAAAUAGUA
rnacentral:tRNA from 1 species